AUGCAUAUGAAUGUUGACCUGUCCACUCCUGCGGGAGAGUUUCAUUACACGACAGUGUGUGUGUGUGUGUGUGUGUGUGUGUGUGUGUGUGUGUGUGUGUCACUCUGUCCUGUCGUGUCCAUCACUGCAGGCUCCUCGUCUCAGACUAAAAUCAUCCACAGCGAUUUCUCCAUGUUUCCCUCGCCGUCUCUCUGCCUUCAGCACAAUCUGACACAGAACAGCUUCAGUCAAUAAGCGAUAAUCAACAUGCACAUACUCAAUGAUCACAAACAGCACUAAUAUAGCACAGUAAACCAUCAAAUGAGAAGUCAUUCCCUCCAGUUUUUCACAAUUCAGAUCGAAGAACACAUGCAAUGCUGCAUUUUUUGUGAUCCUGCAUAAUGCAUCAUUAAUCGUGAAAAAAAAAAAAAAAUAGCAAAAAAAAACACUUUAGUGUGAAAAAGACACAUACAGAUUAAUUCAUAUAUGAAGAGUAUGCAGUGUUUUAUUUUACAUUUGUUUAUUUUGUGCCUGAAUACUAAAUCAGGAUUGGGUAGUGCACAAAAAUAAACAAGUUUAAUGCAUUCUGGAAACUUGCGCCACAAAAUCUGUUAUUUUUGAUCACAAAAAUUUAAAUAAAUAAAUAAAUAAGAAUAGUGAAAUCCUGGUGGGAAUGAAAACUUCUUGAAAUAUGUAUGAACACAUGAUGAUUUAUUCAUGCUUACAUCAACAAGUCCCCGCCCCCAAAGAGUGAUGUGGGCGUGUCUCCAGCCGUGUCCUCCAGUCCUGGUCCAGAUGGAUGGGUUGUGACUCCGCCCCUUUCUGACAAACACCUGCAGAGAGCCGAUGUGGUGUCCAUGGAGACGGUGUUUAAAUGACAGGCAGAGGUCGCCGCCCUGCCACGCCUUUGUGGGAGGGGCCAGCGGCACCGUAAGCCUCGCCCCUUUGACACUCCGUCUGUUCAGAGCCUCGGGUACUGACAGGUACCGCCCACCUGAGAGUGAUUGACAGGUAAGAACAGUAAUAGUAGUUUGUUUAAGUUAACUAGAUGAUCUGUGUUUUACCGGCAGGAUCGUCUUUGAUUUCCCAUUUCAGAUCUCCUUCUGAGUCCGUCAUCCAAACACACAGACCCUCAUCGAAUGAGCAGCUCACAACAGCAGCGGCUGAAACACACACACACACACACACACACACGUCAGUAAGAUCCUCGCCGUCUCGUCUUGUCUGUUUCGUGUAUAUAUAGUGUGAACGGUACCUGGAUCAUCUCGCACGAACGCCGUUGUGUUUCCCAGCUCAACGUCGAAGUCCCAGUCAAACAGAUUGUUCUCGUAACGUGGAACUAAAGGAGACCAACACACCAAUCAGAACUAAACUAAUGACUUAAAAACUGACUGCAUGGAAAUAACAUCAAAUAUGUACAAUUUAGAAGUCUAGUUUCAUGAUUCUUUAAAAUUUCAGUAGAUGAAAUGAUCUUAGAGUUUAAUGCAUUAACUAUGAAUCAAUUUGAUUCAAAACUCUGAUCAGGGUUAUUACAGUAACUAAAAAUAAAACCAUAAAUAAACAUUUUCACAACUAGCAAUACAAUACAUGUUAACCGAG
rnacentral:lncRNA from 1 species